rnacentral:rRNA from 1 species
AUGCAGUCGAGGGGCAGCGGGGAGGUAGCAAUACCUUUGCCGGCGACCGGCGCACGGGUGAGUAACACGUAUGCAAUCCACCUGUAACAGGGGGAUAACCCGGAGAAAUCCGGACUAAUACCCCAUAAUAUGGGCUCUCCGCAUGGAGGGUUCAUUAAAGAGAGCAAUUUUGGUUACAGACGAGCAUGCGCUCCAUUAGCCAGUUGGCGGGGUAACGGCCCACCAAAGCGACGAUGGAUAGGGGUUCUGAGAGGAAGGUCCCCCACAUUGGAACUGAGACACGGUCCAAACUCCUACGGGAGGCAGCAGUGAGGAAUAUUGGUCAAUGGUCGGCAGACUGAACCAGCCAAGUCGCGUGAGGGAAGACGGCCCUACGGAUUGUAAACCUCUUUUGUCGGAGAGUAAAGUACGCUACGUGUAGCGUAUUGCAAGUAUCCGAAGAAAAAGCAUCGGCUAACUCCGUGCCAGCAGCCGCGGUAAUACGGAGGAUGCGAGCGUUAUCCGGAUUUAUUGGGUUUAAAGGGUGCGUAGGCGGCACGCCAAGUCAGCGGUGAAAUUUUCGGGCUCAACCCGGACUGUGCCGUUGAAACUGGCGAGCUAGAGUGCACAAGAGGCAGGCGGAAUGCGUGGUGUAGCGGUGAAAUGCAUAGAUAUCACGCAGAACCCCGAUUGCGAAGGCAGCCUGCUAGGGUGCGACAGACGCUGAGGCACGAAAGCGUGGGUAUCG